rnacentral:rRNA from 1 species
AGUGAACGCUGGCGGCGUGCUUAACACAUGCAAGUCGAACGAGAACGGGUUAUAGCUUGCUAUAAUUGUCAGCUAAGUGGCGCACGGGUGAGUAAUAUAUAGGUAAUAUGCCUCUUACUAAGGGAUAACAAAUGGAAACGUUUGCUAAUACCUUAUACUCCUUAUUAACAGGAGUUAAUAAGGGAAAGAUUUAUUGGUAAGAGAUUAGCCUGUAUUGUAUCAGUUAGUUGGUGAGGUAAUGGCUUACCAAGACUAUGACACAUAACUGGUUUGAGAGGAUGAUCAGUCACACUGGAACUGAGACACGGUCCAGACUCCUACGGGAGGCAGCAGUGGGGAAUAUUGCACAAUGGACGAAAGUCUGAUGCAGCAACGCCGCGUGGAGGAUGACACAUUUCGGUGCGUAAACUCCUUUUAUAUGAGAAGAUAAUGACGGUAUUAUAUGAAUAAGCACCGGCUAACUCCGUGCCAGCCGCCGCGGUAA